UCAUCACGCAUGCGCACUCGUCUCACCGCAUCGGCUGCUUUUUCAGAGGCGCAGCAAAGCACAGCCUUGUUCUUUUAUUCAUCUUGUUUUUUUUGUAUUCCUUCCUCUUUUAGGCCGGCGCAAAGUUGGCCGAGGAGCAUCUCAAAAAGUCGGUUGCGUCAAGGCGGAGGUGCUCGGGGCAGGACACAGCGAGAAAAUGUAGGAUAAAGCUUGUGAAUGAACCGUCGCGCGUUUUUACCCCGACGACUUAACGAUGAUUGCGUCCUAAUAACACUAUUCAACUUAAAUCCAAGUUUUAAAAGAUGUUUUUUUUUUUUGUAGGGUACGUGUGUGAAGGAGUAUGAUUGCAAUGACAUCAUGCGGUUAGUAUUUUGUGGGCGGGCUCUGAGCUGUGAGGGGAGAGGGGCGCAGCCGGAGAGCCAUUCCGGCGCCAUUAGCCGUAAAUGUCGCAGCGGCGCACACCGACAACUAGCUCUUCUCCUUUUAGUUUUUUUGGAAACCGGUCGACGCCAAAACGUCGGAUUCGCGUGUAGCUGGAGUUUGAUUAGCCGCAUCGGGGUUCGAAAGUGGAUAUUUCCCUCGUUCUUAACGCUCGACUCCCGUCGUCGACGAUAAACAAGAUGGCGCCCACGUUUUGUCGAGCGCGGAGCUCUUGCUGGGCUGGGUGGAGGCGCGAGCAUGCGCGCUGGCGACCUGCUGGCUCAUUUCCUGUUUAGUUCUCGUGCAAAGACACAAACAUUCGGCAUUCCUAUGACAGUACUUUUCCACCAUCGUUAGGAGCUUUGAAAUGCCAUACAAUUAAUGCAAUACAAUUAAGUUGAAUAGCAUCGUUGAAGCUUUUAUUCCGAGGUAUUAAUACACAAAAUAUCAAAGUCACCAUCAUUUUCGUCAUGUGGCCAACGGACAAAGAACUACAGUUACGUUUACAGCUCACGACAACGGACAAAGAACCACAGUUACGUUAACAGCUCACGACAAGUUAAUCUAAACUGCACACACGCAGCACGUCCGUCCCUAGCAUGUAAUGAACAUUUGCCACAUGACCCCAUCUAGUGGACAAAAACGAAUACAGGUUGACGUUUUCCUCAAGAAGAGGAUGUACUGACUGAUAAACGUACAAAUUACUGAACAUUUUUUAAAAUUGUCUUAAGAUUCAACUGCAGCUAUUCUCUCAUAUGCGAUACCCUACGGAACUACUGCACAAAGUAGUUUGCUAAUUUCUUGCGUGCAUUGAGCUCUAUUUUGAGCUGUAUUCUACUUCACAUUUAUUUGCCAACCCUUCUUAGGCUCCCUCUUGUGCUCUACAAAGGAAUCACGUGGUCUUCACUACAUUCAACUUUUUAGGUUCAAAGUCAUCAAAAGCAGUGAGUUCAAUGAGGCUGUUAAGGAGUGAACAGUCACCUUGUCAAUCAAAGUUAGCGAUGAUGUUGCAGAGAUGCAGGUGGACGAUGACGACCCGAGUCUGGCAGAGCUCUCCCAGGAGCAACACAACCGAUUGGAAUCAUCAGGAUCGUUCUAAUUGCUGCUUCAGAGCUGGUUGAGGAGCUGACCAUCUGAAUCAGGUGUGUUGCAGCCAGGAGAGCUGGAAAACAGGCAGAACAGUGGCCCUCCGGGCCCGGAGCUGCGACGUGUGUAUGGACUAAGUUGUGUGUGACUGUGAGUGUGUUAGCUCAAGGACAAAAGACGCUGACAGCAACAGUUGUUCUGGAUGAAGACUUAUUUUAUCAAACAAUGUGCUGCAUACAAUUCAAUUUUUGUUAUUUUUUGCAAUAAACAAUCGGACAAA